UCAUCUUCUGAGCCUAUUCAUAGAAGACAAUGCCUGCCCAGUGAAACAUUUAAACGGCCGCGUUAGCGUGAGCGUGCUAAGGUAGCGUAAUAAAUAGCCUCUUAAUUGGAGGCCAGCGAAUGGCAAGACUAGGAACACCUGUACCCUUUGUAUUAAAAAAACUUUUCAUCUAAGUGAAAAGACUUAGAUAAUAAAGGAAGACGAAAAGACCCCGCGGAACUUUACUUUUUCUUGUACCCCCGCCCAAAAGCAUAAUAGUACGAAAAGUUUGAUUGGGGCAAUCUCGGAACCAACAAGCUUCCGAUUCUUUAAACAAAAAAAUCCAAAAUUUGAUAUAGAAAAAAUCAGAAGUUACCCCGGGGAUAACAGCGUUAUCCAACUCAAGAGUACACAUCGAAAGUUGGGUUUGCGACCUCGAUGUUGGCUUAAGGAUAUCCACAUUAGUGCAACCGCUAUGGAAGGAUAGUCUGUUCGACUAUUACACCC
rnacentral:rRNA from 1 species